rnacentral:rRNA from 1 species
CCUUUUCCGGUUGAUCCUGCCGGCGGCCACCGCUAUUGGAAUUCGAUUAAGACAUGCGAGUCGAGAGUCUUCGGGACUCGGCGGACUGCUCAGUAACACGCGGAUAACAUGCCCUUGAGUGGGGGAUAACCUCGGGAAACUGAGAAUAAUACCCCAUAGAUCUAGGGAGCUGGAAUGCCUCUAGGUCAAAAGCUCCGGCGCUCAAGGAUUGGUCUGCGGCCUAUCAGGUAGUAGUGGGUGUAACGGACCCACUGGCCUAUGACGGGUAUGGGCCUUGGGAGAGGGAGCCCAGAGAUGGACUCUGAGACACGAGUCCAGGCCCUACGGGGCGCAGCAGUCGCGAAAACUUCACAAUGGGGGCAACCCCGAUGAGGGAAUUCCAAGUGCCAGCACACUGUGUUGGCUGUUCUCUUGUCUAAAAAACAAGAGGAGUAAGGGCCGGGUAAGACGGGUGCCAGCCGCCGCGGUAAUACCCGCGGCCCGAGUGGUGGUCGAUAUUAUUGAGCCUAAAACGUCCGUAGCCGGUCUCGUAAAUCCUUGGGUAAAUCGGGCAGCUCAACUGUCCGAAUUCCGAGGAGACUGCGAGACUUGGGACCGGGAGAGGUCAGAGGUACUUCUGGGGUAGGGGUAAAAUCCUGUAAUCCUGGAAGGACCACCGGUGGCGAAGGCGUCUGACUAGAACGGAUCCGACGGUGAGGGACGAAGCCCUGGGGCGCAAACGGGAUUAGAUACCCCGGUAGUCCAGGGUGUAAACGCUGCGGGCUUGGUGUUGGGGGUCCUUUGAGGGCGCCCAGUGCCGGAGAGAAGUUGUUAAGCCUGCUGCUUGGGGAGUACGUCCGCAAGGAUGAAACUUAAAGGAAUUGGCGGGGGAGCAC